UUUAAUGUGGGAGUCCUGUCCAAGACACACUGCAGAAUCUUAUUAUCUAUGCUUUGGCCAUUUGUGGCAUCUUGUGUUCAUGACCCUCUGCCACAUGAGGGAUCUUAAUUGAUGAGAGUUGAAAGAUGCAUAAGUGUUCCCUCUACCCCUUGUUCCACUAUGUUCUGUGAGCCUUAGGUAUAGAGGUUGCAUUGUAGUCAUUUCAUUUGGGCUUGGUAAACUCACAAUCUCUCUGUACGACCAGGUUUGGAACUUUGUAAUAGUCUCUGCCUGUUGCAAAGGAAGCUUCUUUGAUGAGUGGUGACUGGGAUACUUGUCUGUAAAUAUAAAAUUCCAUCUUUUGCACACACUAAUAAAUUACAUUUGUCUAGGGAUAUGACAGUCUUCGGAUUUCUCUAGUAGAUGAGAAGAAAGGUGGCCCGAGACAAAAAAUGCCGCCCAAACUGUCUUCCCUGAAGAGGACGAAGGCUGACAAGCCAACCCCUCCUGAAGAGAACCCACACUGAACAAAUGAACCUCCAGUGUAAUCUCAUGGCUCCAUGAGCAGCACUUCAAAAGAGGCUUGGAGCAGCAAAACCUCCAAAAAUUCAUCAAAACUUCCAUACUUUCCAGAGUUCAUAUCUGCAAACCCCCCCUCCUCCUAGCAAACCCACAAUGUGAACACAGACUGCACAUCUAACUCGGACAGCAGAAAAUGUUCCUGGGACACAUCACCUGCCUUGCCCAGUGAGGGAGCCAAGCGCAAAAGCCCCAGCACAAAAGACAGAGGCGGCAGAUGAUCGGGCCCUGGAAACAGCUGAGGAGACUUCAGUGGCCAGCCCCAGAGUGUGCCCAGAGCCCCUCAAAACAAGCAUAAUGUGGGCUUGGGAAGGCCUGGUGGGUGGGGUUAAAAACUGCUUCCUCAGUUCAUGCUACUUCCUCCCACCCCCAAAGAGACCACACCUCUCUGCCUAAAGGAAACCACCCCUGGCCAGGAGUAAAAUCGUGGCAGUGAGUGAGGACCACGGAGACCUUGGUGAAACAAGUAGGUGGGAUGGUCAGAUGCGCUUCUGCAUUCUCUUUAUGCAUGCUGUUAAUAAUGUCCUCUUCAGUUAACACAUUCUGAAUAUACACAUUUGAGGGGUUAGGUGACAUUACAUCUAUCACCACAGAAAGCAAAUAACAUACUAUCUGUCCUCCUAUUGAGAGUCCUGAAAACUUUGUACUAGAUGUAGGUAGCAGAGGAUGGUGAUCUGAGGAUGGAGAAGGAUGGAGGAGAGAGUUGCUGAAAGGGACUAGUGGAUUAUUCUUGAGGAAUCAGCUUGAGGAAUCAUCCCAACACAGGGCCAGCACAGUCAAGUAUUAUCCUGCCUAUCACCACUAAGAGACUCACUUUAUUCUGUUUUCUAGUGCUGUGGAAAUCACUGAACUCCCUGGAGGCUAACACCCGAGAGUAGAUUGCAGCCUGGCAUGGAUGCAGACAGCCACAGGAGAGAGCCACAGUAAGAAUUCUAGGUUUCGGUGUUCCAGUGGGAAGCUGGGUAAACAUCACUAGCUAAAGUAAGAGCAAAGCGCCCAUGUGCAUGUAGAGGAAGUAAUAAGGGAGUCCCACACUGAGGAUCAGCUGGGACCCAGAGGAGUGAGGGAAGAUUCUGGGUGCCAGCUCUGACCUCAACAUCUACCUAACCCUCCCCUGCAGGCAGCUCCCUCCUUGAUGCAUGGUGGCACCACGUGAAACACGCUGCAGGGCUCUGAGACCCUGAGAAGCGAGAUCCACAGAGUGCUGGUGAUCAUCAGGCAAACUCCAAGGACAAUCCCAAAGGUGCAUGGGACCUUAGAUGCACAGUGAGAACCUCAUCUCUGCCGCAAGCCUCCAGAUGAGUCUAUGGGUCAUUAGCAGGGACAGAGGAUCAGGACACAGAAGACCACACUGGGCCUAACCUGUUGGACUGUGUGUUUCUUGCUGUAAUUUGCUGGCAGCAACAGAACACUGAUGCAUGGAAGGUGAAUUAAAAGCCCAGUUGGGAAGGUAGAGUGGACAGGGUCAGAUGAGUGAUUACUGGCUGUGAUAAAGAACUCAGCAGUAUCCUGACUACUAGGCAGCACAGUCCCAGAUCCAGAAAGCUUCAGAGCCCACCCCAGCACCAGCCCCUGACCUCAUAUUUUUCAUCCUGAGUCAUCUCAACUGCACCCUCAUUUUUAUAUCUGGAUGAAUACACAAAUACACAAUCCUGUCUUCUGUGUGCCAAGCCCACAGCUGACACUAGUGAAGAUUUGUUGGCUUGAUAAGGUGCCCCCAUUGAAACAAGGUGAAUACAUAUUUUAUGUGACUGCCCCUCUUGGAAAUGCCCUCAUGACCCGAGAACACACCUUGCUCCUGCCUUGUCCCUCAACUCACACAACCUCCUCUACUGCUACAUAGAAGCCAUGGCAAGCCAGCAUGGGUGGUUUACACUUUGCUCCAGCCCAUGCAGUCACACAUUCAGGAACUUUUAAUGUGCAAUUGGCAGAGUAGUGCCAUGACCCCUGCACUUCCUUCCCUCUAAAUAAGGCAUCCAGUGCCCCUAGUCUCCCCAUGUUUACUUUGUCUACUCAACCUGAGUGUCAUGGAGAAGAGAAAAAGGUGGCCAGAGUUGAAGAAUGCCUUUCACCCUGCAUUUAUUGAAGAGGAGUCAGGAUGACAAGUUAUCCCUCCUGAAGAGGACCUGCACUGAACAGCACUCCCACGGAGAGUCCACAUGACUCACAUCAUGAGCAGCCCUCCAGGAGUGGCUUAGAGUAGUACCACCAAGAGUUCAUUAUGGACUUGCUCAUCUUCAGAGUUCACAUCUGCAAAAUCCUCCUCUGGGCAAAGCAAAGAUGUGACUAGAGACUGUACUCCUAAUCCAGAGAGCAGCAAGGCUUCCUUUGAUAUGUCUGUCAUCUGCCUCGUCCAGUGAGGAAGCCCAGGGUGAGAGACUAGUUUUAUCAUGUCUGUUUCAAGUGAUGUGGGAGUCACUGAACUUGCAGGAGGCUGAUCCUAGAGAGCUAGAGAGUGGGGAGCAGCUUGGCAUAGACACAGACACCCAAGGAGAGAGCGGGAUAGGAAUUCCAAGUGGCUGUGUGCCAAUGGGUGUCUGUGUCCACAUCCCUAGCUGACAGACAGUAAGCAGAAAAUGCCCCCAUGUCUGCGGCGGAAGGAGGGAAGGGUUCCAUCCUUCUCAGGUCAGCUAGGACCCUGAGGAGUGAGGGAAGAUGGAAAGAGCCUGAGUCCAGUUUUCUUCUGACAUUCCCGAGGCAGUUCUAUGAAGGCCAGUCACUCCGGAAUGGCUUCCUGCCAAAGAAUCACUCUGAAGCACUCAGAAACCCUGAAAGAAAGAUCACAGAAUACUGGUGAUGAACAUGGAAACUGGAGAAUACCACAAAGUUCCACAGGACUUAAAUGCACACUAUAAGUUUCUGAUCAGGUUGGAGACAGCAAGGGAGGCUGGAGAUGCAGGAGGAUCCAUCUGGAGCCCAGGAGCCGUGUGAAGGCCGUAUGUCCAGUGCCCACACCUCACCAGCACAGCCAGCCACCUUCAAGGUGAGGUCAACUGUCCUUUGAGUGGAUCCCACGUGAAAUCUGAAGUGUUUGUCAUUUGAAUCCAGAGAAGGGUCCGGAACCAGGAACAAUGUUGCUGCUGCUUCUUUGUGGCCUCCAAGGCAUGUUGGAGGCUACAGCGUGGGGACAAAAGAAACCCCUGGAACCACUCAUAAUCAAGGGACAAAGCCUUAGUCCAGCCUCAUACAGAUGAGACAGUGACAGGACCUUCCACGUUGAACCCCAACAUCCUGGAUGAAAGAAGGAUACAGACGUGAUGUUUUUUGGGACAGGCCAUGGUGAAGGUGGUCAAUUAUAUGGUAGGAAGCAAGGGGAUACCUUUUCAUAUUUACUGACAACAUUGUUUAUUUCAGAUUUCCAAGAGGGCAGAAGGCCAGAACAAGUGCUUGAGAUGGGCAGAAGGAGAAGUGAAGAAAAAUGUCUCCUGAUUCAGAGAGUACCCAGCACCUAGCACUGACCACUUUUCUGGAAGAACACUGGUCUGAGGCAGCAUGAAUCCUUGACCACCUUGGCAGGGACAUUGCUGCUCCAAUGAGAAGACCACAGAAACACUGCUACUUGUAACGGCCAGACGUAGCUCUACUGUGACAGUCACCUUUGGGGAGCUUUACCAUGAAUGCUGUCUCUAAGGUCCCAUCUCUUAAAAGCCCAGUAACCUCUUAUGCACCCUGCGUCCAUUCAUGGUUUGCACAGAGCUGA